CCGCUACGAGGUGCUCACGGCCGAGCAGAUUCUACAACACAUGGUGGAAUGUAUCCGGGAGGUCAACGAGGUCAUCCAGUGCAUAUUGGGUACUUCCAGAAGUAUGAAUUCAGUGAUGCAAAGGACAGGCGGGCUGCAGCAGCAAAGAAUCCAGCAACUAUCACAAGAAUACUCCUUAGCCACUUCAAUUGGGAUAAAGAGAAGCUAAUGGAAAGGUACUUUGAUGGAAACCUGGAGAAGCUCUUUGCUGAGUGUCAUGUAAUUAAUCCAAGUAAAAAGUCUCGAACACGCCAGAUGAAUACAAGGUCAUCAGCACAGG
rnacentral:sRNA from 2 species